CACUUUCGGCAACGGAUCACUUGGCUCUCGCAUCGAUGAAGAACGCAGCGAAAUGCGAGAAGUAAUGUGAAUUGCAGAAUUCAGUGAAUCAUCGAAUCUUUGAACGCACCUUGCGCUCCUUGGUAUUCCGAGGAGCAUGCCUGUUUGAGUGUCAUUAACUUCUCAACUACACUAGUUUCUUGUAAACUAGUUGUGGCUUGGAUUGUGGGGGUAUUCCUGCAGGCUUCUACUAUUGAGGCCAGCUCCCCUGAAAUGCAUUAGCGGAACCGUUUGCGGUCAGUCACCGGUGUGAUAAUUAUCUACGCCCACGACAAAGGCUGCUCUCUGUUUGUUCAGCUUCUAAUCGUCCUUUCAGGACAACUUUUGAAUAUUUGACCUCAAAUCAGGUAGGACUACCCGCUGAACUUAAGCAUAUCAAUAAGCGGAGGCU
rnacentral:misc_RNA from 1 species